rnacentral:rRNA from 1 species
GAUGAACGCUAGCUACAGGCUUAACACAUGCAAGUCGCAGGGUAACAUGAGGAAAGCUUGCUUUCCUUGAUGACGACUGGCGCACGGGUGAGUAACGCGUAUCCAACCUUCCCAUAACUACGGGAUAACCCGUUGAAAGACGGCCUAAUACCGUAUGACAUCGUUUGCUGACAUCAAAUAACGAUUAAAGGUUUAGCGGUUAUGGAUGGGGAUGCGUCUGAUUAGCUUGUUGGCGGGGUAACGGCCCACCAAGGCGACGAUCAGUAGGGGUUCUGAGAGGAAGGUCCCCCACAUUGGAACUGAGACACGGUCCAAACUCCUACGGGAGGCAGCAGUGAGGAAUAGUGGUCAAUGGGCGAGAGCCUGAACCAGCCAAGUAGCGUGCAGGAGGACGGCCCUAUGGGUUGUAAACUGCUUUUAUGUGGGGAUAAAGUGCGUGACGUGUCAUGCAUUGCAGGUACCACAUGAAUAAGGACCGGCUAAUUCCGUG